rnacentral:rRNA from 1 species
CGUGUCCUGGAGUGGGGGCUCGCCCGGCUCAAGCCGGUAUUCAUCCCGCAUCCGCUCUGUGGAGGCAAGCGGGGGCUCUUCGGACCUCGCGCUCAAGGGGCGGCCGAUGGCAUAUUCGCUCGUUGGUGGGGUAAAGGCCUACCAAGGCGCCGAUCUGUAGCUGGUCUGAGUCGGACGACCAGCCACACUGGGACUGAGACACGGCCCAGACUCCUACGGGAGGCAGCAGUGGGGAAUUUUGGACAAUGGGGGCAACCCUGAUCCAGCAAUGCCGCGUGUGUGAAGAAGGCCUUCGGGUUGUAAAGCACUUUUGUCCGGAAAGAAAACCUCUGGGUUAAUACCCUGGGGGGAUGACGGUACCGGA